UUGAACGAGGAAUUCCUAGUAAACGCGAGUCAUCAGCUCGCAUUGAUUACGUCCCUGCCCUUUGUACACACCGCCCGUCGCACCUACCGAUUGAAUGUUUCGGUGAAGAUUCCGGACUGUGGCUCGCGUGCUUUACGGCGCUCCUGCCGUGGGAAGUUAUCUAAACCUCAACAUUUAGAGGAAGGUGAAGUCGUAACAAGGUUUCCGUAGGUGAACCUGCGGAAGGAUCAUUA
rnacentral:rRNA from 1 species